rnacentral:rRNA from 1 species
GACGAACGCUGGCGGCGUGCCUAAUACAUGCAAGUCGAACGCUUCUUUCCUCCCGAGUGCUUGCACUCAAUUGGAAAGAGGAGUGGCGGACGGGUGAGUAACACGUGGGUAACCUACCCACCAGAGGGGGAUAACACUUGGAAACAGGUGCUAAUACCGCAUAACAGUUUAUGCCGCAUGGCAUAAGAGUGAAAGGCGCUUUCGGGUGUCGCUGAUGGAUGGACCCGCGGUGCAUUAGCCAGUUGGUGAGGUAACGGCUCACCAAGGCCACGAUGCAUAGCCGACCUGAGAGGGUGAUCGGCCACACUGGGACUGAGACACGGCCCAGACUCCUACGGGAGGCAGCAGUAGGGAAUCUUCGGCAAUGGACGAAAGUCUGACCGAGCAACGCCGCGUGAGUGAAGAAGGUUUUCGGAUCGUAAAACUCUGUUGUUAGAGAAGAACAAGGACGUUAGUAACUGAACGUCCCCUGACGGUAUCUAACCAGAAAGCCACGGCUAACUACGUG